rnacentral:tRNA from 1 species
GGGGGUGUGGUGAAAUGGUAUCAUAAAGGUCUCCAAAACCUUUGUUCCAGGUUCGAGCCCUGGCGCCCCUG